UUUAAGUACCGAAGGUCAUGAGUUCACACUGCCAAGAAAAGCUUCUAGCCAGGCGAAGGUGCCCGUACCGCAAACCGACACAGGUGGGUGAGAAGAGAAUUCUAAGGCGCGCGGAAGAACUCUCGUUAAGGAACUCGGCAAAAUGACCCCGUAACUUCGGGAGAAGGGGUGCCUCGGUAGGGUGAAUAGCCCGAGGGGGCCGCAGUGAAAAGGCCCAAGCGACUGUUUAGCAAAAACACAGGUCUGUGCGAAGCCGCAAGGCGAAGUAUACGGGCUGACGCCUGCCCGGUGCUGGAAGGUUAAGAGGAGUGGUUAGGGGCAACCCGAAGCUAUGAAUUGAAGCCCCAGUAAACGGCGGCCGUAACUAUAACGGUCCUAAGGUAGCGAAAUUCCUUGUCAGGUAAAUUCUGACCCGCACGAAUGGCGUAACGACUUGGGCGCUGUCUCAACGAGAGAUCCGGUGAAAUUUUAAUACCUGUGAAGAUGCAGGUUACCCGCGACAAGACGGAAAGACCCCAUGGAGCUUUACUGCAGCUUGAUAUUGGACUUUGGUACGAUCUGUACAGGAUAGGUGGGAGCCUUUGAAGCGUGAGCGCCAGCUUGCGUGGAGGCGCCGUUGGGAUACCACCCUGAUCGUAUCGGAGUUCUAACCUGGUACCGUGAUCCGGUAUGGGGACAGUGUCAGGUGGGCAGUUUGACUGGGGCGGUCGCCUCCUAAAAUGUAACGGAGGCGUUUAAAGGUUCCCUCAGAAUGGUUGGAAAUCAUUCGCAGAGUGCAAAGGCAUAAGGGAGCUUGACUGCGAGACCUACAAGUCGAGCAGGGACGAAAGUCGGACUUAGUGAUCCGGUGGUACCGAAUGGAAGGGCCAUCGCUCAACGGAUAAAAGCUACCCUGGGGAUAACAGGCU
rnacentral:rRNA from 2 species